ensembl:lncRNA
GGAGAGCCGGAGGGGCAUGCUGGCUUGUCCCAGGUGCUGUUUUUGUUUGUUUUGAUGCAAAGAGGACAGUUUAGAAGACCUCCUUUUUAUCCAGGAGAUCCUCCCAGAAAAAGCAUCAUAGAACCUGCCUGCCUGCCUUUCAUUUUUCUCUUGCCCUAUCCUUUGUGGUAGAGGAGCCUGGAUGCUGUUACCUGUGUGAAAGGACAGGGUCAGAGGAGCAUCCUUUGGGCUUGAGCUAGAAUGUGUUGCCAAACACCAUGCCUUUCAAAAUGGUUCUCCGGCUCAUUCUUAGAAUCCUGCUUUGGGGACUGGUACUUUUAUAUGGAACGUGGGGUCCAAAUGACACAGAAGACAACACAGAUGCCAGUCACACAAAGGGAAUAUCUGCUCACACACCUUCAAACAGGAGGGUCACAAAGCCGCCAGGAGGAUGAUGGGAAGGGAAUCAAACCAAUACCUCCGCGACACAAACGGCCUUCAGAACCAACUGGCAAAACGCCCGAACAGCACUUUGUACUCCAAAGAGAAGUUAGCCGGUGCACACCAGUGGACUUACUCAGCCUUGGAGCUUGUCAGCUCUUCCGGACGCAUGUUUCUGCUCCACCAAGGAAGAGAAGAGAGUACGCUGGCAGCCGCUGCAGGGCAGGGGAGAAGCGUGGAGGCUCCCCGAAACAAGUGGUUUCAGCAGCUGCUAGAAACUUCCCCCUAAGACCUCCUCCCGGGGCCGGUGAGCCAGGAGCGGGGGUUCCUCGCAGCCAUCCCUGCGCGUUGUCCUGGCCUCGAGUGAAUUCAGGAAAACCCUGGAGUCAGCUCAGCAGCCCCACCUGAGGCACCAAAAACUGUAAUUGAAAGUGUCUGGGUCCAGCUGCCCACCCAUCAAAAACCGAUAAAGAGGCAAGGUUGGUGGAAAGGAAAGCUUGCUUUACUUCCGAGGCCAGAAACAGAGGGGAGGGGGCCAUGCCUGCAAAGGCCGACUCCCGCUGCUGAUGCUCACUGGGCAAGAGCUCUUAUAGAUGGAAAGAGGGGGCUAAUGCAGGAAUGGCACCGUCAGCUCUGCCAAUCAUCUUGAAAUUGGUCCUGCGGUGAUCUGGUCAAGUGUACUUGUCUUCAGUUCCAGUUCCAGGAUCGACGUGCUCCCAUUUCUUUGACGCCAGCUCUCAGAGUUGUGGCGGCUUAUGUCGUGUGAUGUGGGCAGAGUUCCUGAAGUAAGCCAUGUCCUUCCCACUUCAUUGGCUGCCUUAAUGUUCCAAGCCUGGGGACGAAUCAGCUUUGUCCCCAGAGUACACCUUGACAGAGGAUUAGAGGGUUCACUCUGCGUUCCUGUCUCCUUUUGUGAAAGCAUCAGAGCACCCGAAAUCCACGAAGGGAGAAGCUAUGUUUGUUACUACAUCUUUAAC